rnacentral:rRNA from 1 species
UUACCAGGCCUUGACAUGCAGAGAACUUUCCAGAGAUGGAUUGGUGCCUUCGGGAACUCUGACACAGGUGCUGCAUGGCUGUCGUCAGCUCGUGUCGUGAGAUGUUGGGUUAAGUCCGUAACGAGCGCAACCCUUGUCCUUAGUUACCAGCACGUUAUGGUGGGCACUCUAAGGAGACUGCCGGUGACAAACCGGAGGAAGGUGGGGAUGACGUCAAGUCAUCACGGCCCUUACGGCCUGGGCUACACACGUGCUACAAUGGUCGGUACAAAGGGUUGCCAAGCCGCGAGGUGGAGCUAAUCCCAUAAAACCGAUCGUAGUCCGGAUCGCAGUCUGCAACUCGACUGCGUGAAGUCGGAAUCGCUAGUAAUCGUGAAUCAGAAUGUCACGGUGAAUACGUUCCCGGGCCUU